GACGAACGCUGGCGGCGUGCUUAACACAUGCAAGUCGAACGGUGAACCCGCUUCGGGGGUACACGAGCGGCGAACGGGUGAGUAACACGUGAGCAACCUGCCCUUCUCUUUGGAAUAAGCGUUGGAAACGACGUCUAAUGCCGAAUAUGACCCCCUGUCGCAUGGUGGGGGGUGGAAAGCUCUGGCGGAGAAGGAUGGGCUCGCGGCCUAUCAGCUGGUUGGUGGGGGUAAUGGCCCACCAAGGCGACGACGGGUAGCCGGCCUGAGAGGGUGACCGGCCACACUGGGACUGAGACACGGCCCAGACUCCUACGGGAGGCAGCAGUGGGGAAUAUUGGACAAUGGGCGAAAGCCUGAUCCAGCAACGCCGCGUGAGGGAUGACGGCCUUCGGGUUGUAAACCUCUUUCAGCAGGGACGAAGCGAGAGUGACGGUACCUGCAGAAGAAGGACCGGCCAACUACGUGCCAGCCGCCGCAGUAAUAC
rnacentral:rRNA from 1 species